UCCUGAUUUCUCCCCAGGUCAAAUAGUUUACUUACCUUCAGUUUGGUGAUGAGCAACUGUAGCAAGAGUGACCCCAUUUUGAUUUUUAGCCUGAUCUGUUGGGGCCCAGUACAGAAGCUUAGCCCAAAGCAGUAGCCUCUGGGAAUUUUUAUUUAACAAGAACAAAGUCUGAUACAAACUUCUCAACAAAGCCAAGGGAACUAUACACUGAGUUUCAGGAAAACUUGUACAUCCCACUUUGUUGUAUGAGGUCGUUUUUCUUUUUUCUUUCAGGACAAGGGCAGCAUGGGGAAGACAGAUGGGACCAGGCUGCCACACCUGUCUGGCUAAAGGCAGCUGGCAGAUGUUCAGUACCCAAAGCAGUUUCUAGCACUACAAAGCAUUCAGAUGUGUUGCUUUAAGGCUGCUGAUCACUGAUCUCGUGGGCACCAUGAACUGUUCCCCUCUGUGAUGGCCCUCUGCCGAGCCACCCUGCUUGGAUCCAGCUAAUUACAGACUGAAACCUCUUCAAACAAAUUGUCAUUGAAGACUCUAGUUUUAUCAAAAUGCAAAACAAUCAGCCCGAAAACCCAAAGCAAGCUUCUGAAGAAGAAUUGGGAUACACUCGGGUUUGAAAGACAACAUGUGCAUUUGAGAGCAUUCAUCUGUGGGCUCUGAAGCCAACUACUUGGGCCAUCCCAGUAAAGACCCUCCUCCUUUGCUGACUCCACAAGAAGAGGAUCACAGACCAUCAUGGGAAGGAUGUUCAUAUGCCUCAAGCCAUCAGCCUGGGAGCCUGCACUGGGUGCCACAGUCUUCCUGACACCUCUUCCUCCAUUCCCCAUCUAUGAUGAGGGAUCGAGACCUAACAUCUUCUACUUGACAUGGUGACUCUUCUAGGAACCUGUUAAAACCUCAUGCCUAUAACUGAGUACACCCCUCCCCAAAAAUUCACAGGGAAUCCACACAAGGAUCUACACACACAAAAGUGAUCACAGGAUUUGGAACAGAAUAGAUCGUUCUUCCCAGAAGGUCUCUGCAGUGAAGAAGGAAUAUUUUUGUAGUAUUCCUCAAUAUUCCUGAGUGUGAAUUGCUGCUUCAAAUCUUCACUUUCCUGGGAAUUCACAUUCUUGUACUUUGGCAGAAGGCGCCUAUUUGACAUGUGAGGUAGUGAGAUUCUAGAUGCAGAACCUGGGAGUGGAAGCCUGGAUAGUGAGAGAGCAUUUUCAGGACAAAGAUCAUGUUCUGCUUGUCUUGUGUCUCAUGGGCUGGCAUGUGGAAGACUCUCAUCACAUAUGGAGAUGGAGGAAAGGGAGACAGGAGGAUUGUGGCACCCAGUGGGACCCGGUACCAACUCCCAGACUGCUGUCUUGAAGCACAUCAACAUCUUUCCCAUGACGGACUCCAUCAGAAGAUGAAGCAAAGCAUCUUCAGGUGCAGCGUAGUGACUGUAGCUGUGGGCAGAUGGGAACUUCCCUCUCUACCCUUUGGGGACUUUCAGGAAUAACCUGAUGCCACUUCUGAGGUCAGAGGAGGGGGCCCUGAGUGGGCAGGUGGGCAGGUAAAGAGUGGGGAGAGAUACUUAAACCAUUAAAAAUUGAAGC